rnacentral:rRNA from 1 species
CUCCGGUUGAUCCCGCCGGACCUGACUGCUAUCGGAUUGGUACUAAGCCAUGCGAGUCGUUGUAGCAAUACAAGGCGGACGGCUCAGUAACACGUAGUCAACCUAACCUAUGGACGUGGAUAACCUCGGGAAACUGAGAAUAAACCGCGAUAGAUCAUUAUGCCUGGAAUGGCUUAUGGUUCAAACAAUUUAUUGCCGUAGGAUGGGACUGCGGCCUAUCAGCUUGUUGGUGAGGUAAUGGUCCACCAAGGCUAUAACAGGUACGGGCUCUGAGAGGAGAAGCCCGGAGAUGGGUACUGAGACACGGACCCAGGCCCUAUGGGGCGCAGCAGGCGAGAAACCUUAGCAAUGUGCGAAAGCACGACUAGGUUAAUCCGAGUGAUUUCUGUUGAAGAAAUCUUUUGUCAGUCGUAAAACCACAGACGAAUAAGGGGUGGGCAAGUCUGGUGUCAGCCGCCGCGGUAAUACCAGCACCUCGAGUGGUCAGGAGGUUUAUUGGGCCUAAAGCAUCCGUAGCCGGCUACGCAAGUCUCCGGUUAAAUCCAGCUGCUCAACAGAUGGGCUGCCGGAGAUACUACAUAGCUAGGGAGCGGGAGAGGUAGACGGUAUUCUGUGGGUAGGGGUAAAAUCCACUGAUCCAUAGAGGACCACCAGUGGCGAAGGCGGUCUACCAGAACGCGUUCGACGGUGAGGGAUGAAAGCUGGGGGAGCAAACCGGAUUAGAUACCCGGGUAGUCCCAGCUGUAAACGAUGCAAACUCGGUGAUGCAUUGGCUUAUGGCCAAUGCAGUGCCGCAGGGAAGCCGUUAAGUUUGCCGCCUGGGAAGUACGGACGCAAGUCUGAAACUUAAAGGAAUUGGCGGGGGAGCA